CGCUCAGUGCGUUUACACUUCGAGCGGAAUGUCAGUGAACGCGGAAAAAAUAUUCCGCAGUGAAAAUCGGGGGAAUUGAAAUAAAAUUUAUAUUAAAGGGCUUUGAACAAGGAAAUCAGUUCAAAAAUAAUCGUUCAACCAUUCCGCAUCUAUUCCACCUAGUUUCGCAGCCAUAAAAUGCAGCAUAGUCGAGUUUUUGAAGAAUAUAAGUUUUUUCAUUUUCACGUUCGAAAGAACUGUAAAUGCACCUUAAAUAGGCUUAAAGUUUGCCAACUAAAUAGAGUCCUACGAAAACCUACUAAAUUGACCGAUCCCCCCCGAUUACGUCGAUCAACUUAUUGUGCUACCAAAUCAUGCAUAAUUGUGUGAGCCUACUCAUCAGCCGAUUUAGUAUGGCACCUAUUUCAUAUUCAAGCGUAGCCCGAUUAAUCGGCAUACUAAAUAGGGUCAUUGAUUUAGUAGGGUGAUUCGUAGCCAGACUAAAUCGGCACCCAACUAAAUAUGUGAACGGCGAAAUUUUUCAACUGUUAAAUUUCCUAUCGGGAACCGUAAUUUGAGAAAUACGUUCCUCUUUGUUUAUUAAAAUGUAUAGUUGAGUAUGGAUCUUGUAAAUGCUGCCUACCGAAAAGUGUUUAGUGAAAAUUUCUCUGAAUAAAACACUCAAGACUUCUCGCUCCUCCUCUGCCCUCUAUUUUAGUGUUCUUUUCAAAUUUUCUCUAGUGUGACAUUCUUGCGUAGAACUAUCAACAUAGAGACAACCACCUUGAUGAAAAUUUCGUAUAAGUUCAGAACAAAGUAUACUUGUUUGUGUUUUUAUUCGAAAGUUAACACUAAAAGAGACCGUUUCCAGCAAAAAAGUGAAAAUGACCCAACAGUCACAUGGGACAUUCUUGCUUAGAACGGCAGUAUAACCCAUUAAGAUUAUCACUCUUCGGCUCAUACUAUUACCACACCGUUUCGAUGGAAAACUUGAUGAAAAUGAGGAAAAAAAUCAUGCGCAGAACUUUGAAUACCCCAUGCUGGUGAUCCGACAGGGAUUGGAAAUGGAGGAACGUUCACUUGGGAAUCCCUUCCCGAGGGAUAAAAUCGAAUUUGAUACACUCAGAUAAGGGCGAAGGCAACCUCAGUCGAAAUACUCAUGGACCGCAGUUCCCACUGGUUCUGCUAGCAUCAAGAUGGACAACACAUCAUUUUCGGCAGGUUGGUCUGUGAUUUAGAUGUCUUGAGUCAAACGGAACGCGUCGAAACCGGGAUCGAUCUGUUCAGUCCACUUUCAACGAGUCGAGGAACUGAAACGGCCAUCCAAUGGGAGGCCGAAGAAAACCUGUCGAAAUCGGCCAACGACAGAACCAAAGAAGUUUUCGUUGCACAAUACCUUCAUUAUAAGAUUUGAACAGAUUUUCCCACCAAAGUUGUAAGACGAUUUCUUAUCCAUUAUGCAGCUGAUGUCACUCCUGGAUAGAAGCACAUAGUAGCAAGGACCAACGGCAAACGAUCAGCAAGUCACUGGUUAUUUGCAAAAAUAGAGCGGGCCUGUGCCAUUGUGUAGGAGUAGUGUGUGCUGCUGGUGCGGGUGGUAAUUAUAUUCAUUCAGCGCAUAUAGUGUGUCUAAACAAUAGCAUGUCACAUAAAAACGCUUGUAUUUUGAAGUUGUGACACCGUUUUUUGGUAAAU